UGGGAUGUGUGUGAUGUUUGACUUUC
rnacentral:piRNA from 1 species